CUGCACGAAGGAGGGGACGCACUGCGUAGUGACAGAAAAUCCGGGUAAGAAAAGAUGACUGUGCAGGGAGAGGACUGGGGUCACAGGCUCCUUGAGAAGCAUCAAGCUUCUACUUUAGUAAAAAGCAUUAAAGUCUGUCUCCAUGAUUGACAGGCCAUUUACUUCCUGCCACAUGGCUUCCCUUUGCAUUUUGUGAGUGGAUCAUGGGUGCUCACUGACUUGCUGGUAACUUUCUUCAAGGAUUCAAGGUUAAAAAAAAUGCAAAAAUCCACGCCACAUUUUUCAAGGAACGACAUGGGAAACAUUAUUGUCAGCCUGCAUCCCUCUACUUGAUUAGAACAGUCUCCAUCUGGAGGAAAAGCCCCUCUGAGACUGGUGGUGCCCACUGUUUGCUUUCCAGGUGGCUUUGAGAAUGGGAGGGGCCUCACCCUAGGCCCAGGUUUCCUCAGGACACCCAGUGUGGCAUGGGUAGGACGGAUGUGGGGACUGAGGAAAGAAAGAAAAGAAACCAAAAAUGCAUCUUCUUUGCCAAAUCACUCUCUGCUUUGACCCAUCCCCUACCUUGUCUUUGGAUCAUCGGAGACAUGACACUGAAAUAGAAUCUAAAAUGAAGUUACACGUAAGCAACAAGCCCACCUGGAGGGCAGUGUCAGGUGUGGACAGAAAGGGGAUGUUUCUACCUUCAUCCUCCACCUCAAUCCCUGCCCACAACGACUCAGAUGUGUCCAGAGUGCCUGGUUUCCAAGGUCAGCAGAGAAGUAGCAUGUCUUGCUCCCAUCUUUUGGCUGACAAUUUUUUUUUUCUUGAGAUGGAUUUUGACAAGAGCAACUCCCUGUGUGUUGGAAGGCAGGACUCCUCUUAACCAAGGCUGUUCAACGCACAAGUGAAU
rnacentral:lncRNA from 1 species